rnacentral:rRNA from 1 species
AACGAACGCUGGCGGCAGGCUUAACACAUGCAAGUCGAACGCCCCGCAAGGGGAGUGGCGAACGGGUGAGUAACACGUGGGUGAUCUGCCCUGCACUCUGGGAUAAGCCUGGGAAACUGGGUCUAAUACCGGAUAUGACUACAGCAUGCAUGUGUGGUGGUGGAAAGAUUUAUCGGUGCAGGAUGGGCCCGCGGCCUAUCAGCUUGUUGGUGGGGUAAUGGCCUACCAAGGCGACGACGGGUAGCCGACCUGAGAGGGUGACCGGCCACACUGGGACUGAGACACGGCCCAGACUCCUACGGGAGGCAGCAGUGGGGAAUAUUGCACAAUGGGCGGAAGCCUGAUGCAGCGACGCCGCGUGAGGGAUGAAGGCCUUCGGGUUGUAAACCUCUUUCAGCAGGGACGAAGCGUGAGUGACGGUACCUGCAGAAGAAGCACCGGCUAACUACGUGCCAGCAGCCGCAGUAA